CCUACGGGAGGCUGCAGUGGGGAAUAUUGCGCAAUGGGCGAAAGCCUGACGCAGCGACGCCGCGUGAGGGAUGAAGGUCUUCGGAUCGUUAACCUCUGUCAGCAGGGAAGAACGGUCACUGUGCUAAUCAGCAGUGAAUUGACGGUACCUGCAAAGGAAGCACCGGCUAACUCCGUGCCAGCAGCCGCGGUAAUACGGAGGGUGCGUGCGUUAAUCGGAAUUACUGGGCGUAAAGCGCUCGUAGGCGGUAUGUCAAGUCAGAGGUGAAAUCCCCGGGCUCAACGUGGGAACUGCAUUUGAAACUGGCAUACUUGAGUGUGGGAGAGGAUAGUGGAAUUCCAGGUGUAGGGGUGAAAUCCGUAGAUAUCUGGAGGAACAUCGGUGGCGAAGGCGACUAUCUGGCACAUAACUGACGCUGAGGAGCGAAAGCGUGGGUAGCAAACAGGAUUAGAUACCCUGGUAGUC
rnacentral:rRNA from 1 species